rnacentral:lncRNA from 1 species
AUAUGCCUAUUUUUAUUGUCACCAUUCCAAAGUUUAGAUUGUUCAAAUUCAUAUAAUGUUCUUGCUAGCACACAUAUGGUAAAUGUAUCAAUCACAAUAUCUCAUUAUCAAAUGAAAAGCAAUUAUUUCAGACUUCAAAACUCAAUAAAGUUGUGAAACUAAAUGCACAGUAGAUCCAAUGUUUCCUAGACUCUUAACCAAAAGAAAAAUAAUUUGCAAUCAGUUUCUUAAAUAGCUAAGGCCGUGAAAUGCAAUGUUAAGCACCAUGCUGAAUGAAGACAAUCAAAACUGGAACAGCGACUCAGGAGCAUAUUCCAGGGCUUCGAGGUGAGCAGCCAUUGCCUUGUUCAUUGGUGGCGGGCCACAUCUCAGAAUCUGAAAUUCCUCGAGAACAUGUCUCUGAUCAGUUAUCUUCCCUUUUACAUCACAAUAAGCGGAAAAAACAAAGAAACGUCAUAAUUGAGGAAUAGGCAAAAUAACGAAAAUGAUUACCUUGAUAUCUUGUGCUGGAGGAGGCAAAUGUGCUUGAAUCAUCUCCUUUGAUACAAAUCCGACGCCACCAUCCCAUAUCUCAGGAGGCUAAAAAGAUUACAUAACAAAAUCAAUUGACAAACUCAUCUGGAGACUACUAAUUAAGUAUAAGCUCAAACCACUAACAAUAGGACAUUAAGACUUAAUAACAUAAUCAGGAAACAACAAAAUUACUUCCUCAGUUAGAUAACUAACUGAUUCAACAUGUUAUAAAGAUAUUACAAUAUAAUCUACAAAGCGAAAUAUUAAACGAUAAUCUAUAGGUAUCAAUCAAAUCAACACCAAGUAACUUAAGAUGUGAGAUGGCUCCAGAAAGCAUAAUCAUGUUAAUCAUGGAACGAAGUGUUCAAGUUGGAACGCAUCGGAAAAACUGUAAAACAAUAUCAAAGGUUUGUUGGCACCAAAUUAUUCUACAUGACAUAGCAACUAACCUGAUUUAACACAUAGUAUAUUUUGAAUCGGUCCGGAUAGUUUGUAGCAAGGCCAUCAAGUUCUUCCUGCAGGUGCACAUAAGUAGAUUUCCAUUAGACAAACUAAGGAUAACAAUACGAUGAAGACAAGGACGGUAUAUAUUGCAUCUAAGGGAUACAUUUUUCAAAUGCUUUUACACUAAUUUUAAAGAUUGAAUUUCAAUAUCUGUUAGCAACUUAAUUAAGGGCCCUGAUAAAACCUACUCCAUAAUGGAUCAAUAUGAAUCAGUCAAGGAUUCAAGGGUCGAGUUCAUAAAUUCUUAAACGAAAGGAUAAAUGAUAAUUACCUUCAAAAGAAUGUCCUCAUAUGUAACAUUGGCAUAGAUAAGAUGCACCUUGGUCUUGUCACUUGGGUUUUCUAAUAUAGCUCUAGCUACCUUGAAUGACAACAAGCAAACAAAUUAAGAACAUUUAGAACUAACUACAAGAUAUAAUUUCUGUCUUGAUUACAUACUUGGAACAUUGGAGUGAUUCCAGACCCUCCGGCAAGCAUUCCAAAUGCUCUAACCUCACCCAGUUGGUACUUGAAACGUCCCUGAACACAAUUAUAUCUUAAAUCAUUAGGUAUUAUGUAGAGCCUAAAAAUUCGGAUGGAUCUUAAGACAUACAUGAAAAUUAAAGAGUGGUUGCAUUGAGUGUCUCUGGUGAUUAUCAACAACAAUGAAAAUUAAGAAAAUGAGUAGCUCAGAAACUGUGUAGAAAUGAGUUUUAAAAAAACUACCUUUGGUCCUUUCACAGCAAGAGAGUCACCAACACGCAUCUCACGGAAAUGGUGUGACAUCCUUCCUUGAGGGUACAUCUAAUAAAGGCAUAUUUUUCACAAGGAACCAAAUAAUUAAGGGACAAAAUGAAGAAUAAUGCACAUAAGUUGGAAAAAGCAUUAGGAUAUAAAACCAAUCAUUUCAGUAUAUACCUUGAUAACUAGUUCAAAAUGUCCAACAUCGGAAUCCAAAGUUGUAGGAGUAUAUGGUUUGAUAACCUCAUCACCUUGACCAUCCUUACCCCUGUUCGAAAAAGUGGCUGGUUCACAAUAUGAAAAUAAAACAUUUGUAAAGGAUUUAAGGAAGAUAUAAGGGCAUGGAAAAGCUUAUCGACAAGCAUAAGCACCUGUGAAACUGUUUGUGAGAGCUUAUGGAAAGGCUCAUGACAUGUCCAUAAAUUGUUUCAGCUUAUUUCCAUAAGCUUUCCAUAAUAACAACUUAGAGCUUAUAUGAAAACAGUUCGGCUUUAUUUUACCUCAGCCAGCAAUACGAGAAUAUGGCGAACAGAUGUAAAAUGAAACAUAAAUACUAGCUGAAAUAGUGACAUGAAAAAUAGACACAAAAACAGGAUCAUGCAACCGAACCUGCAACUUAUGUGUUGUCCAAUUAGAAGACCCAAAACAGAUGUAGGUGUUGGGAGUUCAAAAGUGAACUUUGCAACAUUAUGGCUCAGCUGUGCUUUCUUGACGAGCUUAAACUCACUGAACUGCUCUGGGUUCAAGCAAGCUAUAAACACGGAUAAUAUGAAUGAAUGAUUAAACUAAAUACAAAAACAACCAAAUUCGACAAAAUAUCAAGAGAAUAAUGCAAGUAAUAUAUUCAUCAAAAUUUGAGUGCAACAAGUUUCACUUCACAUUUAUCUCAGGUUUCAUUUUUAAAGAUUUAGUUGAGGCCUUUCACUUGGUGUAAGUAGGGUUCCAUUAAUGAAAACAUCAAAUCCGUGUCAUGAACUAAUGCACCUUGUAGCUUGUGUAGAUGGAAAUGGCGAUAGAAAGAUGUGUUUUUAGCAUUACCACUAGAAGUACAACAUAAAUCAGCCAAUACUACUGUCAACUUUAUAAAACAUAACCUAUUAAGUCGUAUAAAUCUGCUAAUAUACCCCUACAAACCUAAGAAACCAUUAAACCUGACCAAGAAGAAACUUCCUUUUCGAAACAGAAGUAGAGAAUCAAAAGCAACCAGUAUGGAAUUAAACUACCAACCAUUAAACUACCAAGCAGAGCAGUGUUUUCUAGUAACAAGAAAGAAACUGAAAACUUUUCAGAUGGUUCCAAAAUAUUAAUAUCCAAGAAUUUCUUGUGAGGAAAAACAUCAAAAUGCAAUACCAAUAAUAAAUUUAAGAGAAAAGGGUGUUCACCAAACAUACUAAUGACAUAAAACGUACAAAGUAGAGAAAAAGUAUCCUGUCAGCAUAGCUCAAUUGGUAGAGAUAUGCAGAGGGGCCAGGGUUCGAACCCGGGAUUUCCCACUUAUGACAUAAAAUGUGCAAAGUAGAGAAAAACGGUCCCCAUGAACAUAACUCAGUUGUUAGAGAUAUGUAGAUGCCGAGUUUCGAACCCGGGAUUCUCCAUUUAUUCACCUCAAGGGUUGAAUUUCUAGCUACUAGGCUACUUGACAAAAAACAAAACAGAAAAAAACAAAUAGUCAAGAGUCAUUACUAGAUCCCAUAUCCCUUGAUGCAAAGUCGAAACAAAUAGUCAAGAGUCAUUACUAGAUCCCAUAUCCCUUGUAUUAGUCCUUUCUAUAUCUGACAAAAAUAAUAUAAUUUAGAUGUUUGUUAUCUUAAUCAGGUUUGUUCGUCUUUCAGAUGUUCAGUCCUGAACGUGAGGAAUGUAGGACCAUAGUCGGUCGGCGUAAAGAAAAUAAGAUUUUGAUGGACGAAAGAAUGAAAUGAGGUGUGAUUGUUUGUGUAUGUGAAGUGUGAGAGUUGGAAUGGAAAGGAAGAAGAAGGAAGCGUGAGAAUAGGGUCUAACUGUGGAAGCGUUCUUCUAUUAAUGACUAAUAUGUUAAUUCACUAUGAAAAAUUGAUUAGUAAAAAAAAAAACAUGAAAAAUUGAUGAUGUAUAAAAACAACCAGUUAUACCCACGAGGCUGAGGGGCUAACAUGUCCCAUGAGCAUGCACGGGUCCGUUUCCUACGGACGGCACCAAUGCUCCAAUCCGACCAUGCUCCAAUCCGACCAAGUCCACAUCUCCGUGGAGUGUUGUAUAUAAACUACUCUUAGCAUCGAUUACCAAGCGAUAUAAGAUUAUUUUAGUGUAUUCGGAACACAAACCAUAUGCAAUCACGGAACACAAACCAUAUGCAAACAUGGUGUUCGAUAACAUUUUUCAUGUCCACAUAACAAUACUCAUGUUAAUUAUGUGUUUUUUUAGUAUAUAGAUAAUUCGCGGAUACCACUGAUAAAUUCGCGGAUACCACUGAAAUUGAUACACAAUUGCAAUGUUUCAAGUUCAAAUUUGGAUAAAGACAUUCAACUUUGUAAUAUCAACGUUUGUCACUUGAAUAAAUAACCUACUAAGGAAAUAUCAUUUCAUAUUUACAAUGCUCAAUAAAUUAUUAAUUUUAAUUUUUCAGUUGCACAAUUAAUUAUUUAUUGUACUUUUUUAAAACCACUAUUGUAAUAAUUUAUAAAUGGAGUUAACAAAAUAUAUAAAUUUUAAAACGCAUAUUUUUAAUUUUGUACGAUUUUAAGGUUUCAUGAUGAAGUAAUAAGUUAUCUUUAUUUAUUGGAAAAUGUCAAAAAGCUAGUUGUUUGAGCUAAAUCACUUGAUUAAAUUGAAUACAUUUCUUAAUCUUCAGAAUCAUUUCUAGAAAUUAAACCGAGUUGACUUUGAAUCCGUUCGAAUCUAUAUUUAAAUAAGCAUUUUUUUAUAAUGAACAAAUAAAUUAAAAGAUUAUGGGAGGCACAUCCAUAUGUGCAACCCACUUUGGUAUUAUGUCUCCAUAUGCCUAUUUUUAUUGUCACCAUUCCCAAGUUUAGAGUGUUCAAGUUCAUAUUAAGUUCUUUCUAGCACACAUGGUAAAUGUAUCAAUCUCAAUAUCUCAUUAUCAAAUGAAAAAAGCAAUUAUUUCAGACUUCAAAACUCAAUAAAGUUGUGAAACUAAAUGCACAGUAGAUCCAAUGUUUCCUAGACUCUUAACCAAAAGAAAAAUAAUUUGCAAUCAGUUUCUUAAAUAGCUAAGGCCGUGAAAUGCAAUGUUAAGCACCGUGCUGAAUGAAGACGAUCAAAACUGGAACUGCGACUCAGGAGCAUAUUCCAGGGAUUCAAGGUGAGCAGCCAUUGCCUUGUUCAUUGGUGGCGGGCCACAUCUCAGAAUCUGAAAUUCCUCGAGAACAUGUCUCUGAUCAGUUANNNNNUCUUGUGCUGGAGGAGGCAAAUGUGCUUGAAUCAUCUCCUUUGAUACAAAUCCAACGCCGCCAUCCCAUAUCUCAGGAGGCU